rnacentral:rRNA from 1 species
AUGGGUGAUACUAUCAGGAAUCGGACGCUCCCACUCGAUGAGUCGACGGCGUCGCCGCCGCCGCCGCCGGCCUGCGUUUACUACGCAGGGUGCCCGGGCUGCGCCAUGGAGCGGAAGAAGGGGAACAACACGGGGAUCCCAUACAAGGAGUUGUUCUUUGUUGGCAUCACCACCCUUUCCUCCGCCUUACCAGUAUCAUCUCUGUUUCCCUUCUUAUAUUUUAUGAUAGAAGAUAUGCGUGUGGCAGAAAACAAAACAGACAUUGGAUUGUACGCUGGUCUUCUUGGUGCAUCAUACAUGGCUGGUAGAUGUUUUGCCUCAAUAUUUUGGGGUGUGGUGGCAGAUCGUAUUGGAAGAAAACCUAUCAUUGCGUUCUCCCUCUUCACAGUGGUAAUAUUUAAUACUUUAUUUGGAUUGAGUACAAAGUAUUGGAUGGCGAUUACCACAAGAAUGCUUCUUGGUUCACUUAAUGGCAUGCUUGCCCCAAUAAAGGCUUAUUCAGUUGAAGUUUGUCGGCCUGAACAUCAUGCUCUAGGAUUAUCCAUUGUAAGCACUGGUUGGGGCAUAGGUCUUGUUAUCGGUCCAUCUAUUGGAGGAUUUUUGGCACAGCCUGCAAAGCAAUAUCCAAACCUAUUUUCAGAGAAGUCGAUUUUUGGGAGGUUUCCUUAUUUCCUGCCAUGCCUUUGUAUUUCACUGGUUGCGUUGGUUGUUUUAAUAAGCUGCACAUGGCUACCGGAGACUCUUCAUAUGCAUAAAAACUUGCAAAGAGAAGUAGAAAUGGUUGAUGAGUCAAGUUCUGCUCCCAGUGGAGAAGCAUAUACGAAUUCAGAGAAGAGUCUAUAUCGGAACUGGCCAUUGAUGUCCUCUAUAAUUGCCUAUUGUGUUUUCACCCUUCAUGACACGGCAUACAGUGAGAUACUUGCCUUGUGGGCUGUAAGUGACAAAAGCUACGGUGGACUAAGCUUGGCAUCUAAAGAUGUCGGUCAAAUUCUUGCAGUUUCAGGUGCUGGUCUUCUUGCGUACCAACUGCUGGUUUACACACAUGUUCAUAGAUAUCUCGGAUCCAUCAUAUCAUCCCGCAUUGCAGCUGCUCUGUCCAUACCUCUCCUUGCUGCUUACCCAUUCAUGUCACAACUAUCAGGGACUAGAUUUGGGUUAGCUAUUUAUUUUGCCACAAUUUUAAAGGGUACUUUGGCGGGGCUGGGAUUUUGUUGUCCUGUCCAAUCAACGGUCGGUUUGUAUCCGCUGGUUCAUCGUGCUCACGAGAACAGGCCAAAAGUUAAAAUAUGA